rnacentral:rRNA from 1 species
GAUGAACGCUGGCGGCGUGCCUAAUACAUGCAAGUCGAGCGAACAGACGAGGCGCUUGCUCCUCUGACGUUAGCGGCGGACGGGUGAGUAACACGUGGAUAACCUACCUAUAAGACUGGGAUAACUUCGGGAAACCGGAGCUAAUACCGGAUAAUAUAUUGAACCGCAUGGUUCAAUAGUGAAAGACGGUUUUGCUGUCACUUAUAGAUGGAUCCGCGCCGCAUUAGCUAGUUGGUAAGGUAACGGCUUACCAAGGCAACGAUGCGUAGCCGACCUGAGAGGGUGAUAGGCCACACUGGAACUGAGACAGGGUCCAGACUCCUACGGGACGCAGCAGUAGGGAAUCUUCCGCAAUGGGCGAAAGCCUGACGGAGCAACGCCGCGUGAGUGAUGAAGGUCUUCGGAUCGUAAAACUCUGUUAUUAGGGAAGAACAAAUGUGUAAGUAACUAUGCACGUCUUGACGGUACCUAAUCAGAAAGCCACGGCUAACUACGUG